rnacentral:rRNA from 1 species
UACGAAGGGGGCUAGCGUUGCUCGGAAUCACUGGGCGUAAAGCGCACGUAGGCGGUCUUUUAAGUCAGGGGUGAAAUCCUGGAGCUCAACUCCAGAACUGCCUUUGAUACUGAAAGACUUGAGUUCGGGAGAGGUGAGUGGAACUGCGAGUGUAGAGGUGAAAUUCGUAGAUAUUCGCAAGAACACCAGUGGCGAAGGCGGCUCACUGGCCCGAUACUGACGCUGAGGCACGAAAGCGUGGGGAGCAAACAGG